rnacentral:rRNA from 1 species
GUCCACGCCCUAAACGAUGGAUGCUAGAUAUCGGGAGUAUCGACCCUCCCGGUGUCGGUGAAAAAGCUAACGCAUUAAGCAUCCCGCCUGGGGAGUACGGUCGCAAGACUAAAACUCAAAGGAAUAGACGGGGACCCGCACAAGUGGAGGAGCAUGUGGUUUAAUUCGAUGGUAAGCGAGGAACCUUACCUGGGCUUGAAAGACAGCUGCAAGCCGCCGGAAACGGUGGCCGCCUUCGAGGGUGCUGUCUAGGUGCUGCAUGGUUGCCGU